rnacentral:rRNA from 1 species
AAAAACAUCGCCUCUCGUUACCAAUGGGAGGUCCAGCCUGCCCAGUGAUAAACUUUAACGGCCACGGUACCCUAACCGCGCAAAGGUAGCACAAUCACUUGUUCUCUAAAUAGGGACUAGUAUGAACGGCAUCACGAGGGUUCUACUGUCUCCCCCACUUAAUCAGUGAAACUAAUCUCCCCGUGAAGAAGCGGGGAUAAACCUAUAAGACAAGAAGACCCCAUGGAGCUUUAAACUAAGUACCACCUGCCCGCCAAAUAUCACCCAAACCCAGCAGACCUGUCCCACUAGUUUUCGGUUGGGGUGACCGCGGAGUAAAACAAAACCUCCGCGACGAAAGGAUUUUCCUCCUAAUCAAAGGGCUACCACCCACAGAAUCAACACAUUGACCAAAUUGACCCAAUACCUUGAGCAACGAACCAAGUUACCCUGGGGAUAACAGCGCAAUCCACUUCAAGAGCCCCUAUCGACAAGUGGGUUUACGACCUCGAUGUUGGAUCAGGGUGUCCCAGUGGUGCAGCCGCUACUAAAGGUUCGUUUGUUCAACGAUUAAAACCCUACGUGAUCUGAG